rnacentral:lncRNA from 1 species
CAACCCUACAUCUCUGCUUCCAAAGUCCGACCCAGGGCUGCAGCACACAACACGUUUCCAGUGGAGAAGCCCUUUGCAGAGUUCAGAGCUCUCGCAGGCCUCGUGUUCAACUCCUCGUCUUGCCACCUGCUUUUGUUAUGCAAGAAACUGAGGCAGAAAGCAGGGAAGCAACACAGCUGGGUAGGGCCCAGCAGAGUCUCACCCCAAGCUCCCCAGCUGCUCACCCACAGUGCUCUGGGCCCCUCCCACUUCCACAACUGCGACCUUGUCUUUGACCUUGAACUUCUGUCUCCUCCUCCCAAAAUGCCUGUGACCAACUGGGCUGCCUUUGAUGAGCUGCUCCGAGGAACAGCAGCCACUUGCCCACUGGCCCCCAGCCCUCCCUGAAGGGUGGCAGCUGAUGCCUGUGUGCCUGAAGGCAGCUCCUGCCCCCAGUAUCCACAAGGAGGGACAAACUCUCACAUGGACAGUGAGGGUGUGACAGGCCCUGAAGAACAGGUUCUGUGUCCACUUUAGAUGCUGGAACUACACUUAAAGAGCGACCAGCUUUUACAGAUACAAAAAUAAACAUGUUUGCCUUUGCUUGUUAUUGCCAAGGAAGCCAUCUUCCCCUGCUUUGACACCUCAACUGUGAAUGCAUUUCCCAUAACAUCUGAAAAUGUACACUAAAAAUCAAGUCACACUUUAAGGUAGUGUUUUUGGCCAAUUUGUUCUGAGAACAAAUACAAAACUGCAUAAAAAUAGCUUCCACAGGGAAAAAAGGUGCAAGUCCAACAGACACCCUUUCCAGUCACCUAGACAUCACCUGGGUGUUGAAAACCACCUUGAGCCCAAAUCCACCUGCACCAUUGAUUCUCUCGUGUCAGGUGCAUCCACGGGGCUUAUCAAAGCUCUGUUUUAUUCUUUUAAAAAUGACAACUUACUAUUUUGGGCAGGACAAAUGUUCCCAGAGAACUUUUAAAUCUGAUGUUAUAGUUUUAUUUCUUAGUUCUAGGUACAGGGCUAGAUGUUUGGCUGAAGCUGCGUGUGCCACAACACUGCAGGCCCCACACCACGCAGCCAGACGCCCCUCCCAGUCCUCCUUCCUCCUGACGUGGCUCCCAGUGGAAUGAGAUGGCUGGGGUCUCAUGAGGGGCCAGCUGCGUGGGCCGUCCAUUCUCUACCAUGGCAUGCCGACAACAGGGUCACAGAGAAGUCCCCCUUUCAAACCAAGAUUUGAGCUGAAGAGUCAGGUUCCUGGUCGCAGGGCUCCGUCAUCUGCAGGAAAAUUAGUGAAGAAGUGGAGGGCCUUGCAAUGUGAAAGGGUGGGAGAGAGAAAGCCAGAGAGACUUCUGCAAAACAAGCUGCAGAUGGGCAUGGAGAAGAGCAAAGCCGCAUACAGGCAUAGUGGAAAAGUACGCUGACCUUCUCAGUGGCUCUAAAACAACAAGCGAAAGACAACCACCAGCAUCCGUCUUCUUCCUUUCCAGCCAGACAACUCUCCCUGGCCCUAAUGGGUUUCAGGCAGAGAUGGUUUCCUGAGGGCAGCACCAGUCAGAAUGGGUGGAGCAGGCCCCAGAGCUUCUAAUGGUCCCAGCUGAGUCCCCCAAGGCUCAGCACGUGAUCCUGCCGGUCAUACACACAGCCCCAGCUCGAGCACUGUGCGGCCACUCUCUCUCCAAGUACUCUCUGCCCGGGAGCCCACUUCAUCCUGCUUCAUCAGUCUCUGAAGCUGAGAGAACACCCUUGUUUGUUUCUGCAGACAUUCCUUUGCUUCAGCACUCACCGCUCCCCAGACCACAAAGGUGUAUGGACUUAGCAAAACCAGUCAUAAUGAUUUUUCUAUAUCAAAACCAGCCCUAACAAUUUUUAUACAACUUUUAAAUAAAAACAGUGGAAAAUACAAUAAAUAAGUCCUCUAAAUAAAGCUGUGGUAUGAAGUUUAAAUGCCCCAAGUCAGAAGUCAAUUGGAUGUCUCUGUCUGAGCUGAGAGCACAUGACAUACAACGAAACCACAUGGACAGACACAACCCCGAAUGCCAAUUCCAGUGUCCUGUGCAGUGAUGACCACACUGUUAGAAGCAUUUUAACUCUUGUUUUUACAAACUUUCUUUUUACAUAUAUGUUAGCGGUCAAAGAACUCUGUUUUUCUUGGUCCAAACCAGAGGAAAUUUAUUGUCCAAACCAGACCCACCCCAAUGCAUUUGCCUCUGAUGUGAGAAAGAAACACUAGGGCUUCAACCAGAUGAGGGGCAUUUAGGAAAACCCACAGCUAAAGUCACAUUCAAUGCGGAACACUGGGCACCUCCCCCUAAGGUCAGGAACAAGACGAGGGUGUCCGCUCUUAUUCCUUUCAGCCUCGGCACUGAUGGUCCUAGGGCAACUCUAUGUUGACGCCUCUGAGGAACUGCCGGGCUGCAGUGAAUCCAGGUGACCUCACAGAAACUUGUAUGUGAGCAUUCGCAGCGGCAUCAUUCACAGUGGCCAGGAGGUGGAAACAACCCCGAUGUCCAUCAACUGAUGAACCAACCGAUGAACACAGGGUGACCUGUCCAUACAGUGGGGUCUCAGCCACAGAGGGAGCAAGGCCGUGAAACCCCCAGCGAGAGCGAGGCGCGGAAACCCGCAGCGGGAGCGAGGCGCGGAAACAGGCCAUGACACGGAUGAGCCACACCAUGGAUGACCCCACGGACACGCCACCAAAGCACCAUCAUGCUGAGUGACAGAAGCCAGGCACCCAGACCAUGCACUGUAUGAUUCCUUUCACGUGAAAUUUCCAGAACAGGGAAAUCCAGAGCGACAGAAAGCAGGUUAGAGGUUCCAGGGGCUGGGGGUUGGGGGAAUGGGGAGAGACUACUUAACAGGCAGAGACUUGUUUUUGGGGUGGUGAAAAUGUUCUAAACGGACUAUGGCUGCACAGCUCUGUGAACACACUAAAAACAUUGGCUUGGACAACUUAAAUGGUCGGAUGCUGACUUAGGUCUCAAUAAAGCUAAAAAAUAAGGUGGCUCCUUCC